AGUGGGGAAUCUUAGACAAUGGGGGCAACCCUGAUCUAGCCAUGCCGCGUGAGUGAUGAAGGCCCUAGGGUCGUAAAGCUCUUUCGCCUGUGAAGAUAAUGACGGUAGCAGGUAAAGAAACCCCGGCUAACUCCGUGCCAGCAGCCGCGGUAAUACGGAGGGGGUUAGCGUUGUUCGGAAUUACUGGGCGUAAAGCGCACGUAGGCGGACUAUUAAGUCAGGGGUGAAAUCCCGGGGCUCAACCCCGGAACUGCCUUUGAUACUGGUAGUCUUGAGUUCGAGAGAGGUGAGUGGAAUUCCGAGUGUAGAGGUGAAAUUCGUAGAUAUUCGGAGGAACACCAGUGGCGAAGGCGGCUCACUGGCUCGAUACUGACGCUGAGGUGCGAAAGUGUGGGGAGCAAA
rnacentral:rRNA from 1 species